CCGGGGGGUAGUUGGCUUUUUUGUUUGUUUGUUUUUGAGAUGGAGUCUUGCUCUGUCCCCCGGGCUGGAAUGCAGUGGUGAGAUCUCGGCUCACUGCAACCUCCACCUCCCAGAUUCAAGCGAUUCUCCUGCCUCACCCUCCCGAGUAGCUGGGAUUACAGGCGCCUGCCACCACGCCCAGCUAAUUUUUGUAUUUUUAGUAGAUUCGGGGUUUCACCAUGUUGGCCAGGCUGGUCUCGAACUCCGGACCUCAAGUGAUCCGCCCACCUCGGCCUCCCAAAGUGCUGGGAUUACAGGUGUGAGCCACCGUGCCCAGCCUGGGAGUGGGGUUAGUUCUAAGUUGGUGAGAGGCAAGCACAGCUCUCGAGGGACAUCCUGCCCGGAAGACGUACUCGUGGGGGCCUCAGCUGGCCCUUGGCACAGUCAUUCAGAAAGUGAAUGUGAAGGCUUGCUCUGCACCCAGCCCCAGGAACCCGUGGGGCAGCAACCUGUUCUUUUGUUUGUUCGUGUUAGGCUCGGAGCUCCCAGAGAGGGUCUAGCAUCCUUCUACAGACCGACCCCUGGAGACAGCCCCCACCAGGAUACAUCCUUGAGAAUAAGCCCCAGGAAAGGGUUUGGGCCACAAAUGGCCUUGUCUUCCUGGCCCAAGGUCAUCAGAUCUGCCUCAGGCAGGGCCUGCAGCCAGCCCCCGGCACCUUCCCUUGAGGAGAGGGUCUGCCCAGUUUUGGUGGAAGGAACAGGGCACCAGCCUCCAGUGCUGCUUCUGCAAUCCCAUGGCCCCGACCCAGGCCCCAACCCAGGCCCUGGUAAGACGGUGACCCAGGGAAUCUGGAGCUCCCUGGCCCACUGCGG
rnacentral:lncRNA from 1 species